rnacentral:rRNA from 1 species
GAUGAACGCUGGCGGCGUGCCUAACACAUGCAAGUCGAGCGAGGGUUUGCUCAGUAUUGAGUAUUCUAAAACUAGAAUGUUCAAUUCUGAGCAAAACCAAGCGGCGGACGGGUGAGUAACGCGUGGGUAACCUGCCCUAUACACAUGGGUAACAUACUGAAAAGUCUACUAAUACAUGAUAAUAUAUAUUUGCGGCAUCGCAGAUAUAUCAAAGUGUUAGCGGUAUAGGAUGGACCCGCGUCUGAUUAGCUAGUUGGUGAGAUAACUGCCCACCAAGGCGACGAUCAGUAGCCGACCUGAGAGGGUGAUCGGCCACAUUGGAACUGAGACACGGUCCAAACUCCUACGGGAGGCAGCAGUGGGGAAUAUUGCACAAUGGGCGAAAGCCUGAUGCAGCAACGCCGCGUGAACGAUGAAGGUCUUCGGAUCGUAAAGUUCUGUUGCAGGGGAAGAUAAUGACGGUACCCUGUGAGGAAGCCCCGGCUAACUACGUGCCAGCAGCCGCGGUAAUACGUAGGGGGCUAGCGUUAUCCGGAUUUACUGGGCGUAAAGGGUGCGUAGGUGGUCCUUCAAGUCGGUGGUUAAAGGCUACGGCUCAACCGUAGUAAGCCGCCGAAACUGGAGGACUUGAGUGCAGGAGAGGAAAGUGGAAUUCCCAGUGUAGCGGUGAAAUGCGUAGAUAUUGGGAGGAACACCAGUAGCGAAGCGGCUUUCUGGACUGCAACUGACACUGAGGCACGAAAGCGUGGGUAGCAAACAGG